rnacentral:rRNA from 1 species
GAUUAUGGCUCAGGAUGAACGCUAGCUACAGGCUUAACACAUGCAAGUCGAGGGGCAGCAUGAAGUUGCUUGCAAACUUGAUGGCGACCGGCGCACGGGUGAGUAACGCGUAUCCAACCUUCCCUAUACUAGAGGAUAGCCCGGCGAAAGUCGGAUUAAUACUCUAUGUUCUUCGUAGAAGACAUCUGAAAUGAAGCAAAGGUUUACCGGUAUAGGAUGGGGAUGCGUCUGAUUAGGUUGUUGGCGGGGUAACGGCCCACCAAGCCCACGAUCAGUAGGGGUUCUGAGAGGAAGGUCCCCCACAUUGGAACUGAGACACGGUCCAAACUCCUACGGGAGGCAGCAGUGAGGAAUAUUGGUCAAUGGACGAGAGUCUGAACCAGCCAAGUAGCGUGCAGGAUGACGGCCCUAUGGGUUGUAAACUGCUUUUAUACAGGGAUAAAGUGACGUACGUGUACGUUUUGUAGGUACUGUAUGAAUAAGGACCGGCUAAUUCCGUGCCAGCCGCGGC